UACGUAGGUGGCUAGCGUUGUCCGGAUUUACUGGGCGUAAAGAGCGCGCAGGCGGUCGUUCAAGUCGAGUGUGAAAGCCCCCGGCUCAACUGGGGAGGGUCACUCGAUACUGAUCGACUCGAAGGCAGGAGAGGGAAGCGGAAUUCCCGGUGUAGUGGUGAAAUGCGUAGAUAUCAGGAGGAACACCGGUGGCGAAGGCGGUUCUCUGGGCAUUACCUGACGCUGAGGAGCGAAAGCAUGGGGAGCGAACAGG
rnacentral:rRNA from 1 species